rnacentral:misc_RNA from 1 species
UUGAUUGAUUUUCUGAUCAACCCGACGCAAAGAUGCAGCGUUAUGAUGGGGUCCGUCGGGGGCCCCGACGCCGACGUCGGCAUCCGACGCGACCGGGUCGCCCCCGAGGCAACAUGAGUGGGUUAAUCAAAGGGUUGGAGGUCGAGCCCGGGGGCUCUCACUCGGUAAUGAUCCCUCCGCAGGUUCACCUAAUGUCCGUCGUUAGCAUCGUAUUCCGUGAAGAAGAGGGUCGCGAGGGUCGAUAGUUACUCACCUACGGAGA